GCAUCUAUUCUUUUUUAGCAGUUGCACAAGUGUCUGUUUCUUUUGUUGCAGUCGAAACCUGAAUCUCCUCUUCUGACUGAGGACUUGCUGCAAUGGUGAUCUUCAGCUGCUUGCAAGCUAUGGACAAAAUCUUUCUUGGUCAUGGGGAUUGCAGUCUGCUCCUUCUGUUAGAAGAAUGGGAAAGGAAACAUGGACAGGGAGCAAGAUUGUCUCUCUAGCAAUGUUAAUACUGUCCAUGAUUUUGGAUAAUGUCUAUAAAAGAUAACCCAAGGAAGAUAGGAAGGACUGAAAGGAAAAAAUGUACUGAAGUCUCUUCUCACUUCAGCCUACUUACUGAAAAUCUGACUGUUAGCUCUACCUAUUCUCCUGUCUUUUGAUUUUUAAGUAUUUGAACUCUAAUAAACAAUAUGAUACAGUUUUUAUACAGAACCUGUUAUAUAUGAUGUCAUGCCUCUAAUAUUCAAAAGAAGUAACAAUUUCUGUAGCAUUUCAUAGUAAAAUGUAAGGUAGUCCAUGUGAAGAGUAAACUGAAAAAAUAAUUAAAAAAAUUAUGAUUCA